rnacentral:rRNA from 1 species
GACGGGGGGGGCAAGUGUUCUUCGGAAUUACUGGGCGUAAAGCGCACGUAGGCGGCUUUGUAAGUUAGAGGUGAAAGCCCGGGGCUCAACUCCGGAAUUGCCUUUAAGACUGCAUCGCUAGAAUUGUGGAGAGGUAAGUGGAAUUCCGAGUGUAGAGGUGAAAUUCGUAGAUAUUCGGAAGAACACCAGUGGCGGAGGCGACUUACUGGACACAUAUUGACGCUGAGGCGCGAAAGCGUGGGGAGCAAACAGG